AUAUUGACCCCUGCAAUUUCGCCAAUGUUUUCCCAGGGUCAGACCUGUCACUUGCACCGUGAACAGGAUGACCCCUGUGAGUUUCCCCAACUGUGGGAAACUUGAUUGCACAAUUUUGUGGCAAUGCUUUCUUGCUCCCCAGCC
rnacentral:snRNA from 1 species